AGCCAACCCACCGUGUUGGCAGGCGAUGAGAUGGCAAAACCCAGAACCCCACCCAGAAAGUUGGUCGCAGCAAGGAGGUGGUCCGGGCACGGACACACCGGUUUGCCAGCGGGCGCAGAAUAUGCACACUCCCGCGGGCGGAUAAGGGAUCGGCCAGGCCCGCGGGGGCGCGGGGAGCGCCGAGGACGCCGGCGCCGCGGGCACAGCCGGACGCCCUGACAUUGGAGCCUGGCAGCGGCCGCGGUCGGCGCUCUCUCCGCCUGACCCCGCGGGGCAAAGGGACCGGUCCGCCCGCCGCCGGGACGGGCGGGAGAGACGCGCCGGAGCGUCCGCUCGGUCCCGGGAAAGCGGCGCGGCCACGGGCCUUCUUACCCGUGCAGGCCGAGGGCGCGGCGCCGCUUGUGGAGCAGGCAGAGCAGCAGGAACGCGGCCCCCGCCAGCGAGGAGUUUCGCGCCGUCAGAUGCCAGAAGAUGAUUAUUUAAGUAACAAUGAUAGCUAUGAGAGGGAAGCUAUAGAGACAAACAAAAGAGGAAGAUUUCAGGGCUGCAAUGGACCUUGACAUCUAGACCAAUGGCCUUAUUUGCAGAUGAAGACAGAUCAUAGGGAGAGCUAUAGCAGCUGCAGUCAAAGCAACCGGCUUGCGUACCACCUCGUGGGUGUUUUACAAGUUUUCCAUUUCACACUCACCCAUAUUUGGGCUGCAGAUUGAUCUGAAUACGUGCCUUUGAACAAAACACCAGGAAGCAGAAAGAACAAUGGGCUGGGAGUCUUGAGUCUGAAUUUCACCUCAAGUUUUGUCAUAAAUAACUGGUUGACCUUAA